CCUACGGGUGGCAGCAGUAGGGAAUAUUGCUCAAUGGGGGAAACCCUGAAGCAGCAACGCCGCGUGGAGGAUGAAGGUUUUCGGAUUGUAAACUCCUUUUGUUAGAGAAGAUAAUGACGGUAUCUAACGAAUAAGCACCGGCUAACUCCGUGCCAGCAGCCGCGGUAAUACGGAGGGUGCAAGCGUUACCCGGAAUCAGUGGGCGUAAAGAGCGCGUAGGCGGGAUAGAAAGUCAGAUGUGAAAUCCUAUGGCUAAACCGUAAAAUUGCAUUUGAAACGGUUUUUCUAGAGGAUGGGAGGGGUAGAUGAAUGUCUUGGGUAAGGGGUAAAAGCAUUAGAAUUCAAGAGGACACCUCAUUGGAAGGGCUACCUGCUAGACCAGA
rnacentral:rRNA from 1 species